rnacentral:lncRNA from 1 species
ACCCCUUUUUAUUUUAUUUUAUAUUUUCUGCUAACUCUCCCUCCCUCUAUUUACAUUUCUCUCACUUCUCUCCUUCCCUCGAACUCUCUCAUUUCCUCUGCAUGCAGAGAGCUCCGAGAGCCCCAAAAACAAGGAGCUGCUCCUCCAUUUGGUUAGUAAGCAUCCAGGAACAUCCGUUAAAAUUAGGGGUUUGGUGAGUUGGUUGUCUUGUCAAAUCUCGGAUUAUCAAUGUGAGUGGUUUAUGUAAUGUGUUGCAAAUUAUACUUAUUUGCAAAUAUCUUUAUUUCAAGUCAAGUACGUUGGAUUUGUAGAAAUGCUUAGUAUGUUGGAUUUGUAGAAAUGCUUUUGGAAUUAUUAAUAUAGUGAUAUGUGGAUAUUUGGAAUUGUUCAUGGAGCAUGAGAAUUUUAGUGUUACAUUAUUCUGAGAAAUAAAUGUAAACUGCACACGAAGACAUUAGGGCAGAAUGAUCAAUAGGAAUCAUGUGAUGAGUUACUAUUUAUGAAGGAUUUAAUGAACACGAAAAUGGAUGAUGUGAUAUGGCACUACGUGCAUAAUGACUUGAUAUUAUUAUUGUAUUUUCUAUAGUGACUAAAAUGACAUUGCUUGACUGUCAUAUUACAUAUUCUACUCACUUAGAGACUUGUUGCUCACCCUUCACCCUUUUAUUUUACAGAUGAGUUAUCUGACAAGACAGGUACUAGACGAGCUGAGAUUGUGUUAGAUAAGGAAUUUAAGAGUUUUUCUUAUUUUUGUACUUUGUAAGGAUUUGUAAUAAUUACUUGUAGAAGAGAACCUUUGUUUUACGUUUAUGAUAGUUUUACUUUUAUUCACGCACCGGGCGUGGGGUUCCGCCGACUCUGGAUUCGGGACGUGACAAAAAUACAAUCUUUUCAAAAUUUUAAGUUUGGCAUAGGAGAUUCUUUGGUCAAAGCCCCCCAUUCAUCAUGGGCGCGUGAGGCUUUAGGCUUUAAUCUUAGGUUUUAUUAUUUUGCAGGUACAUUUUCGUCAAAGGAGAAGAUGACGGAAAUUUGCAUCCACAAUAAUGUUUAAAAAAAUCUAAAAAAUGAAUUUUAGUGAGAAGAAUAAAGCGUAAAUGACAAUCGACGGUUAAAAAUAAAAAUCUAAGGUUUAUGGAUUAUGGUGAGAAAGUUAUAAAGCUUGUUAUUACGAGUGAUAGCUUCUACAAUAAUUAUUAUUAAUUUUGCACUCAAAUAAAAAAUAUUAUUCAUGAACGUUUCUAAAUCUAAACUAUGAUGUAACCAUCGUUGCGCGUGGAGGAUGUAAUCACGAAUGUUUAUAUAUUAUUUCACAUUUUUCACACUUAUACAUUAAUUAUUAUGAAUUUGUUAAUGUGUUUGGUAUUUUUCAAGUACUUUGAUAUUUUUGUUUUUAAAUGUGCUUUAUAAUGUUUUAAUCUCAAUUUUAAGAGACUAAAACAUUUAUGAGUAUGACUGUAUAAGAGAGUGAAAAUCUUUGUUAAGUCG